UUUAUUUUUAUCAAAUCCUAAGUUUAUCAAAUUUCAGCCGUAUCAUUUCUUUCUAAGAAGAUUUUCGAGUUUUGCAGUAGUUCAAGGAACUAGAGUGAAGAAAAAGGAAAGAGAACAUCAGAUUAAUUUCAUCUUCAACUCAAUAAUUGGUUGCAUCUCUUGAUAUAUUUCAUUGUUCAACUUCAUCAAACGUCAUCAAUAGGUAUGUAAAAAAGUUCGUAUUUUUUUUUAUAUUAGUAAUAUAUAUCAGAUCCGACUCUUUCUAAUAGUCUCUCCAAAAAUGGGGUUCGGGGGAGGCCACAAAGAGUUCGGGGGAGACAUUUUCAGAUCUUUAUUUGUGGUUCUGCAGGUGAAUCGAUUGUCGUUUUAGGAGGGAUAUUUUGGUUGUGCUUGCCAUUUUUUGUUGUUGUUUUGACUGUGUUGUUCGAUAUGUGACGGAUGACGUUUUGCUAAGUUGCUACUCGUAUGAUUUGGUUGGUCCAUUUUAUUUUCAAGUAUGUUUUAAGAUGGAAAUGUUCAUGGAUGUUUAUAAAUAUUGCUAUAAUGUUUUAAGAUUGUAAUUUGUUA